AUUGAACGCUGGCGGUAGGCCUAACACAUGCAAGUCGAACGGUAACAGGAAGAAGCUUGCUUCUUUGCUGACGAGUGGCGGACGGGUGAGUAAUGUCUGGGAAACUGCCUGAUGGAGGGGGAUAACUACUGGAAACGGUAGCUACUACCCCCAUACCGUCCCCCCACCACACACGGCGACCUCCGGGCCUCUUGCCAUCGGAUGUGCCCAGAUGGGAUUAGCUAGUAGGUGGGGUAACGGCUCACCUAGGCGACGAUCCCUAGCUGGUCUGAGAGGAUGACCAGCCACACUGGAACUGAGACACGGUCCAGACUCCUACGGGAGGCAGCAGUGGGGAAUAUUGCACAAUGGGCGCAAGCCUGAUGCAGCCAUGCCGCGUGUAUGAAGAAGGCCUUAGGGUUGUAAAGUACUUUCAGCGGGGAGGAAGGGAGUAAAGUUAAUACCUUUGCUCAUUGACGUUACCCGCAGAAGAAGCACCGGCUAACUCUGUGCCAGCAGCCGCGGUAAUACGGAGGGUGCAAGCGUUAAUCGGAAUUAC
rnacentral:rRNA from 1 species